CCGUCAUGUGUACGAGGGAAAAGACGGCGCCAUUGAAGACAUUAUCACAGUGCUGAAGACUGUGCCCUUUACUGCUCGCACCGCCAAGCGUGGCUCUCGGUUUUUCUGCGAACCUGUUCUCACUGAAGAAUACCAUUACUAAACUAUUGCUCUUUGUCACCUGAUACUAUUAAAAGCCUUAAAGAAGAAUAAUAUCACUAAAUUUCCAAAUGUUCACUCGAGGGUAAGGAUUUCUUCUAGCACACCGGUGGUGGAGGAUACACAGAGCUGAUCUUAGAAACCAACCCUACAGAAGAGCCGAUGCGGUGAGACGAAGUGUGAGGCGACGCUUUGAUGAUCAGAAUUUGCGUUCUGUUAAUGGUGGGGAAAUAACAAUGUGACCUGAGACCGCCUUCACGAGAAGGGUGUACAUGAAACUGCCAUUCCAGCCUUCAAUACAGAUGAAAUACUCUCAAGGGCUCAGAUUUAGUAAACAUAUAGGAAUUUAAAAAAUAAUGGGUUCUCCUUUUAACCCCUGUUAACAAGUGCCUAAAAUUGGAAGUAACUUGCUCAGAUUAAUCAAAGCAAUAGGAUUUGACUUA
rnacentral:lncRNA from 1 species